AUGGACCCUCACCUCCAAAUGGAGCUUAAUAUUAGGAGAUGGAGGGAGGAAGAGAUGAGAGGUUUGUCAGACUAUGACUCGGUGUGCAUGAACGGACAGACCGCUGAUAUAGUCAUCUGCUUCCAAUGUAGAGAAGAGCAGAGGGAGCCAUCCAUCGCUGGGCACGUGGACUCAACCUUGAAAAGCGUAGAGGGAGAUUGA
ensembl:lncRNA